GACAUACUUGGGGAUCCAAAUAUUCAAGUUUUAUUUCAAAUGCACUAAGUGCUCUGCUGAGUUAACAAUAAAGACCGACCCGCAAAAUUCAGACUAUGUUGUUGAGUCGGGUGCAUCACGGAAUUUCGAACCUUGGCGUGCAAAGGAUGAGGAAGCAGAUAAGGAAAAUCAAAAAAGGGAAACUGAAGAGAUGGGAGAUGCAAUGAAAUCCUUGGCGAAUAGAACCUUGGAUUC